CACCUACACAGUGAUUCAUUAAAUACGAAGUGCCAUGCCUUAACAGCGCAGGAAUUCACAUUUGCAGGUGAAACCGCAUACCGUAAACUUUUGCAGUUGACUGUACAAUU
rnacentral:lncRNA from 1 species